rnacentral:misc_RNA from 1 species
AAGUCGUAACAAGGUUUCCGUAGGUGAACCUGCGGAAGGAUCACUAAAGUAAACGCCCUCCGGGGCUCUCUUUAUUCACACACCCCUGUGCACUUUGGCCACCUGCCGCGCUUGACUGCGUUAGUAGGUGUGUCUCUUUAUUUACACCCAUAUACACAAGUCAUUGAAUGUAAAAUCGUUAUAAACUAAUAUAACUUUCAACAACGGAUCUCUUGGUUCUC